rnacentral:lncRNA from 1 species
GGUGCCUUUGUCAACCCAAAUGGUAUCACUACAAACUCAUAAUAUCCAUAACGGAAAUCUGCAUUCCAUACAUACUCCUCAGCUAUAGCAAUCUGAUGGUAUCCUGAUGCCAAGAUAAACUUCGAAAACGAUGAACCUCCAUUAAUCUCUUAACUCCCACCUUUCUUCUUUACAACAACAAUGAUGCUCUCCAUGGUGAAAUACUUCAUCUGAUAAAUCCCUUAUCAAAGAGUUCCUCCAAUUGCUUUCUCCACUCAGUCAUCCCUGCUCGUGACAGAUGAUAAGAAACUCGUGAAACCAGUGAUGUUUGCUCCAAACAAAUCACAAAAGCGUCUCAUGUGUCUUGUUGUGGCCGUUCCAAAGGUCACAAUUAUAUCCUCAUAUCCUACAAUAACCGGAAGAUCCUGUAGCUCAUGCUGUCCAUCAUCCUUAACCAUCGAAAUGGUAGCCAAAAAUCUCUAUGUUCUUAUAUUCCAUAACCCCUCAGUAUGUAGCAUGCAUGCAAUAAAAAUUCCAUCUGCUCCAGAAAUAUGAACUCGUGCCUUCAGGCAAUCCAACACUACUCGAUGUCGUGAUAGCAAAUCCAUCCUAAGCAUGACAUCGUAAAAACGUAGCUCCACCUCUGACGAGUCUCCGGACAAAUAGGUCCUCCAAGCAUAACUGGUAUACUGCGAUGAAUAUAAAUAGCUUCCAAUGUCCUAUGUCAGUUGUCCAAACUGACACAUCUCUGAAAAGAUCAACACUGCCAAAAUUGGUAAACAUACCAAAGUGUAACUCCAACAUCUACACAACGCAAGCUGCUGCACCCCAAUUCAAAAGCGAUCUCCACGAGUUCACAAAACAAAUAUACCUCCAAAAUAGUCAAUAUACUCGUACACAUGCCAACCAAUGGCUCAUACCACACACCACAUAAUCUCCAGUAACAAAACUCGUGGAACGAUUGCUUGAAGUGGGCUGGUGGCAGAAACGUCACAUAUCCACUCCUGGAUAACCUCGAAAUCAUGACCGAAGAAACUGAUAACUCCCGAGAAAACUGACGAACUUAAACAUCGCCCAACUGCUGAACAUCUGGCGAGAACCCUGUUAGUCGAA